AAUAAAAGUCGUAACAAACCUAAAUAUAAUAAAAGGAACAUACCUCAGUGUAGUGAAGGCCAUAUAUGACAAACCCACAGCCAACAUCAUACUCAAUGGGCAAAAACUACAAUAGUUUCCCUUAGAAUAGGAACAAGACAGGGAUGU